GUGCCUAUAGUUCAGCGGUAGAGCGCCAGAUUGUGGAUCUGGUUGUCGUGGGUUCGAUCCCCACUAGGCACCCCA
rnacentral:tRNA from 1 species